UUAGGGUUUAAAACCCUAAUACUGACUGGCUGGAAAGAGUUCAGUUUAGGAUUUAAAACCCUAAUGCUGACUAAAGGGAAAGUUCAGUUUAUGGUUUAGAACCCUAAUACUGACUGGAUGGAAAAAGUUCAGUUUAAGGUUUAAAACCCUAAUGCUGACUGAAUGGAAAAAGUUCAGUUUAGGGUUUAAAACCCUAAUACUGACUGGCUGGAAAGAGUUCAGUUUAGGGUUUAAAACCCUAAUGCUGACUGAAUGGAAAAAGAUCAGUUUAGGGCUUAAAACCCUAAUACUGACUGAAGGAAAGAGUUCAGUUUAGGAUUUAAAACCCUAAUACUGACUAAAGGGAAAGUUCAGUUUAUGGUUUAGAACCCUAAUACUGACUGGAUGGAAAAAGUUCAGUUUAAGGUUUAAAACCCUUAUGCUGACUGAAUGGAAAAAGUUCAGUUUAGGGUUUAAAACCCUAAUAUUGACUGAAUGGGAAAAGUUCAGUUUAGGGUUUAAAACCCUAAUGCUGACUAAA
rnacentral:lncRNA from 1 species